rnacentral:rRNA from 1 species
GCAAGUCGAGGGGUAAGGCUACUUCGUUAGUACACGACCGGCGCACGGGUGCGUAACGCUUAGCAACCUACCUUUAACAGAGGGAUAGCCCCGAGAAAUCGGGAUUAAUACCUCAUAACACUUUGGUGUGGAUCACACUACAGUUAAAACUCCGGUGGGUAAAGAUGGGCAUGCGUGACAUUAGUAGUUGGUGGGGUAACGGCUCACCAAGACUACGAUGUCUAGGGGUUCUGAGAGGAUGAUC